AUUUAUGUGACUUAACGCAAAUAGUGGAUGCCUUGGCUUAUCUAGCCGAAGAAGGACGCUUAGUCCGCGAAAGUCUCUGGGGAGCUGACAAAAAGCUUUGAUCCAGAGGUGUCCGAAUUGAAAAAUCACGUAUUGAGAAAUCAAUAUGGCAUCAUAAUUUAUUAUGAUGGGGGAACCUUCCGAACUGAAAUAUCUAAGUAGGAAGAGGAAAAGAAAACGAAAGUGAUUCUCUUAGUAAGCGACGAGCGAACAGGGAAUAGUCCAAACCGUAAUUUAUUACGGGGUUGUAGGACCCCAAUAUUGUAUGUCUAAAGUUAGUAGAACGCUGUGGAAUAAGCGAUCAAAGAGAGUGAAAAUCUCGUAUACAAAAACUGAAGACAACAUAGGGUGUUCCUGAGUAGGUUGGGAGACGGCAAACUCCCUUCUGAAUCCGGGGUGACCAUACUCCAAGACUAAAUACUAGAUAAGACCGAUAGUGAACGAGUACCGUGAGGGAAAGGUGAAAAGACGGGUUGAAGACCCCAUGAAAUAGCUUCUGAAACUAUUUGCUAACAAUCAGACAAAGCACAUUUAUUGUGUGAUGUCGUGCCUAUUGAAGAAUGAGCCGGCGAGUUAUGUCAACAUGCGAGCAUAAGCGAUUGUAAUCGUGGAUGCGUAGUGAAAGCGAGCUUGAAUAGAGCGUUUAGUAUGUUGUCAUAGACCCGAAACCGGGUGAGCUAACCAUGGCCAGGUUGAAGCUAAGGUAAUACUUAGUGGAGGACCGCACCGGUGUAUGCUGCAAGAUGCUCGGAUGAGCUGUGGUUAGGGGUAAUAUGCCAAUCGAACCCGGAGAUAGCUGGUUCUCCCCGAAAUAUAUUUAGGUAUAGGGUCACGUAUAAGCAACAAGGGGGUAGAGCACUGAUCGGGUGUCUAGGGAGUAAUUCCUAGCAUCUAGUUAAACUCCGAAUACCUUGUUUGUGUUCCGUGGCACUCAGUACGGCGAAGCUAAGUUCGUCGGGCGAAAGGGAAACAUCCCAGACCUACAACUAAGGUCUCAAAAUGUACAUUAAGUGGGAAAGGAAGUAUUUUUCCUAAAACACCUAGGAGGUCGGCUCAGAAGCAGCCAUCCUUUAAAGAAAGCGUAACAGCUCACUAGCCUAGGAAAGAUGCGCCGAAAAUGUAACGAGGCUAAAUGUACUACCGAAGUUUAGGAUUUUUAAAUUUAUUUAGAAGUGGUAGGGGAGCGUUCUGUGUGCUUUGAAGGUGUCCCGUAAGGAGAUGCUGGAGCGAUCAGAAGUGAGAAUGCCGGCAUGAGUAACGAAAUUGAGGUGAGAAUCCUCAACCCCGAAUAUCCAAGGUUUCCGCACCCACGUUCGUCGUGUGCGGGUUAGGCGACCCUAAGGUGAGCCUCGUCUUUAAGGCGGGGGUAGCCGAUGGAUUACUGGUUAAUAUUCCAGUCCUUGGUUAUCAUCAUUUGACUUGGGGAAGGACGGUUGUGGAUACCGUAUAUCAAGAUGUGAAUUUUUGAUCUAAGCACAAAGACAGUUUCUAUUGGCAAAUCCGUAGAAGCGUUUAUUCGAUGUGUAAUGGGGCUUGAUCUCUUCGGAGUGAUAGUUAUACGCGAUUUCACGAUCCAGGAAAAGUUUCGCAAGAAGAUGAUAAUUAAAUCGUACCGAUAACCGACACAGGUGGAUAGGUCGAGUAGACCAAGGGGAGCGAGAGAAAAUAGUUUAAGGAACUCGGCAAAACAGCUGGGCGUAAUCUAGAAAGAUGCCCUUCUCAUAUUUUAUAUGAGGCGCAGUGAAUGUUGUGGGAUCGACUGUUUACCAAAAACACAGGUCUGUGCAAACUCGUAAGAGGAAGUAUACGGGCUGAAACCUGCCCGGUGCCGGAAGGUUAAUUGCGAGGGUGAUCGUAGAAUUUAUUCUACUUUUGCUUUCAAUCGAAGCCCCGGUGAACGGCAGCAGUAACUAUAACUGUUCUAAGGUAGCGAAGUUCCUUGUCGCUUAAUUGGCGACGUGCACGAAAGGUCCAACGAGUCCCACACUGUCUUGAACUAUUACUCGGUGAAAUUGAAAUGGCCGUGAAGAUGCGGCCUACUGGCGGCAGGACAAAAAGACCCCGUGAAGCUUUACUACUUCUUGGCACUGUUUUUUUAAUUUGGAUUGUCUAGAAUAGGUGGGAGAAUUGCAAUUUAUUGCAAUUCAUCAGUGUAAUACCACUCGUUCGACUUAGAAAAACUCACCUGACCAUACUGCAUCGUAUGGAGGGACACUGUCUGGUAGGUAGUUUAACUGGGGAGGUUGCUUGCUAAAGAGUAACGCAAGCGCGCAAUGGUACCCUUAUCCUGGAUGGAAAUCAGGAUGUACGUGCAAUAGCAUAUGGGUGCUUUACUGUGAGGCAUACAGGCCGAGCAGUUGCGAAAGCAGGUUAUAGUGAUCCUCGUGUGUUUUAUGGAAGACACCGGGCUUAUCGGAUAAAAGCUACUCCGGGGAUAACAGAGUCAUCACGCCUAAGCGUCCCUAGCGUCGGCGUGGUUUGCUACCUCGAUGUCGGCUCAUCGCAUCCUGGGGCUGUAGAAGGUCCCAAGGGUUAGUCUGUUCGCCUAUUAAAGCGGUACGCGAGCUGGGUUCAGACCGUCGUGAGACAGGUCGGCCUCUAUCCGCCGUCAGCGUUAGAUAUUUGAGGGAAUUUGCUCCUAGUACGAGAGGACCGGAGUGAGGAAACCCCUAGUGUUCCUAUUGUUGCUGUCAAGCGCAUUGUAGGGUAGCUACGUUUCUUAUGGAUAACCGCUGAAAGCAUCUAAGCGGGAAGCCAGACCCAAGAUGAAAUAUCUCAAUUAGACACCUGGGAGACUACCAGGUUGAUAGGCAGAAAGUGUAAGUUUGGCGACAAACUAAGCUUAUCUGUACUAAUCGUC
rnacentral:rRNA from 1 species